rnacentral:rRNA from 1 species
CGUAGGUGGCAAGCGUUGUCCGAAAUUAUUGGGCGUAAAGCGCGCGCAGGCGGUCCUUUAAGUCUGAUGUGAAAGCCCACGGCUCAACCGUGGAGGGUCAUUGGAAACUGGGGGACUUGAGUACAGAAGAGAAGAGUGGAAUUCCACGUGUAGCGGUGAAAUGCGUAGAGAUGUGGAGGAACACCAGUGGCGAAGGCGACUCUUUGGUCUGUAACUGACGCUGAGGCGCGAAAGCGUGGGGAGCAAACAGGAUUAGAUACCCUGGUAGUCCACGCUGUAAACGAUGAGUGCUAAGUGUUAGAGGGUUUCCGCCCUUUAGUGCUGCAGCUAACGCAUUAAGCACUCCGCCUGGGGAGUACGGCCGCAAGGCUG